GCUGGGCUUUGGGGGGGUUUGGGGCUGGUUUGGGGGCACUGAGGAAAGCUGAGUGUGGUUGGGGUGGUUUAGGGUCACUUGGAGGCCUCUGGGGGCAGAUUUGGGGCAUUUCGGGGCAGAUUUGGGGCAUUUUAGGGCGGGUUUGAUUAAUUCCAGGGCAGGUUUGGGGCAUUUCAGGGCGGAAAGGGAGGAAUUUUUGGGAAAAACAGGCCGAAAAAGUAACAAGUUUUGACGUCCCGCAGCCCAAGGUGCUGAAAAUGGGCCCAAAAGAACCAAAUGUUCAGGUUUUAGGGGCAGAAAUUGCCAAAAACAGGCGGAAAAGGAACAAAAUUCUCCUGGGGUGGGACACGAAUUUCCGGGAAGGGGCGAAAAGACCCGAAAUUUUGUCCUGAGCCAAACCCCAAAAUUGGCAGGAACAGGUGGAAAAUUAACAAGAUUUGAUGAGUCGAGGCCCAAAUUCCUGGAAAAGAAUCCAAAUUUUCGUGCAACGAGGCGCAAAUUCCCGAAAAGUGGCAAAAAGAGCCCAAAUUUCCUCCCCCAGAGCAUCAUUCCUGCCGGGAAUGGGAGGCCCCGGGAAGGCUCCCGAGGUCGGGUUCGGGUUUUUUGGCUGCAAAAACCGAUGGGAAAAGGGAUUUUCGGGAGGGACUCGCCGCCGUUCCCGCAGUUUCUCUGGCAGCAAAUCCCCUUUUCCCGGGGUUUUGUUCUCCCGGGAGCACAAAGGGAAGAGCCCCGAACAUUCCCGGUGUUCUCUUGGUGCUUUUAUCCCGCGGGGAGCGGGAAUUUGGGGGGGGGGGGGACCUGGGGGGUUCUGGGACUUCCAGGAGGGAAAAUCGUCCUUCCCAUGGGAUGAGUCGCUCCCGGAUCUCCCUCCUGCCGCGGCCUCACCUGGGAAUCGAUUCCUCGGAGGGACAAGAGACUUUUUUUCCUACAAAUCCACCUUUUCUUUUCCUACAAAUCCGCCUUUGUUCCC